UACGUAGGGGGCGAGCGUUGUCCGGAUUCAUUGGGCGUAAAGCGCGCGUAGGCGGCAGGGCAGGUCGGCCGUGAAAUCUCCCAGCUUAACUGGGAGGGGUCGGGCGAGACUGCCCCGCUAGAGGCGGGUAGAGGGCAGUGGAAUUCCGGGUGUAGUGGUGGAAUGCGUAGAGAUCCGGAGGAACACCAGUGGCGAAGGCGGCUGCCUGGGCCUGGCCUGACGCUGAGGCGCGAAAGCGUGGGGAGCGAACGGG
rnacentral:rRNA from 1 species